UACGGGGGGGGUAAGCGUUGUUCGGAAUUACUGGGCGUAAAGGGCUCGUAGGCGGCCAACUAAGUCAUACGUGAAAUCCCUCAGCUUAACUGGGGAACUGCGUGUGAUACUGGAUGGCUUGGAUUUGGGAGAGGGAUGUGGAAUUCCAGGUGUAGCGGUGAAAUGCGUAGAUAUCUGGAGGAACACCGGUGGCGAAGGCGGCAUCCUGGACCGGUAUUGACGCUGAGGCGCGAAAGCUAGGGGAGCAAACGGG
rnacentral:rRNA from 1 species